AAGAAGAAGAAGAAGUAAAUAGCUCAGGCGCGUGCAGCGGCCUCCACUGUCUGAAGAGAGGAGUGUCAUGAAGUGUUGCACUGAUAGCAGGUGAAACUGAGCCCCUCCAACCAAAGCAAACCCAAGAGACGAAGCCAAGGCAGCAGCUUGCAUUGUAGCCGCACCACUGAAGAGGAAGAAGAGGAUGGAGGAUAGGCAUCCACCGCCACAAUACCAGCCAAGCCGCCCAGGAUGCCAGGCAUGCCGUGCAGAUUGUGGACACCACAGGUAUCCUGGAUGCCAAGGUUUGACGCCAGGAUAGGCUAUAGAUGAGAAAAACACCACACGAGAGUCUUUUGAAAGGUGCCAGAUGCCCUGCAUGAGGAGGCCCCACUGCAGGCCGAAGGCUGCGAGGAGCAGGUUGAUGCCCACGCUGCUGAACCCGUAUCUCUUCAGGAAGGUCAUCAGGAAGCCGAAGCCAAUGAAGAUCAUGACGUGAACAUCCUGAAACACUGGAAGAAUGUAGAGAGAUGUCAGUUUUUGCUGCUUUGUGUUGUAAGUAUUCCUCGAGCCUUAGAAAAUGAGUCAGAUGAAAACCCCUGUUAGAUAUGUCGCCUUCUGUUCAACGUUAACUGUAAACUAAAUGAUUUAUUUAGCAGAUUUCGUUUUCACAGCUGUAAUUUCCUUCCACAGCGGAUGUUUUUAUCUGCUGUGACACGGUAGCUCUAAAGCCAAUUCAAUCACACUGUAAAUUACAUUCUGGGAAAAGCC